rnacentral:tRNA from 1 species
GGUAGGGUGGCCGAACAUAGGUGGUGGGUUGUAGCCCCAAAGAUAAAGGUUUAAGUCCUUUCCCUAUCA